UACGUAGGGUGCAGGCGUUAAUCGGAAUUACUGGGCGUAAAGCGUGCGCAGGCGGUCUUUUAAGUCAGAUGUGAAAUCCCCGGGCCUAACCUGGGAACUGCAUUUGUGACUGCAUAGCUAGAGUCUGUCAGAGGGGGGUGGAAUUCCACGUGUAGCAGUGAAAUGCGUAGAGAUGUGGAGGAACACCGAUGGCGAAGGCAGCCCCCUGGGAUAAGACUGACGCUCAUGUACGAAAGCGUGGGGAGCAAACAGG
rnacentral:rRNA from 1 species